UACGUAGGAUGCAAGCGUUGUCCGGAUUUAUUGGGCGUAAAGAGAACGUAGGUGGCUUGUUAAGUUCGGUCUUAAAGACCGGGGCUCAACCCCGGGAAUGGAUUGAAGACUGGCAGGCUAGAGGAUGUUAGAGGACGGUGGAAUUCCAAGUGUAGCGGUGAAAUGCGUAGAUAUUUGGAGGAACACCAGUGGCGAAAGCGGCCGUCUGGAACAUUCCUGACACUGAGGUUCGAAAGCUCGGGGAGCAAACAGG
rnacentral:rRNA from 1 species